GAUGAAGAACGCAGCGAAAUGCGAUAAGUAAUGUGAAUUGCAGAAUUCAGUGAAUCAUCGAAUCUUUGAACGCACAUUGCGCCCGCCAGUAUUCUGGCGGGCAUGCCUGUUCGAGCGUCAUUUCAACCAUCAAGCCCCCGGCUUGUGUUGGGGACCUGCGGCUGCCGCAGGCCCUGAAAAGCAGUGGCGGGCUCGCUGUCACACCGAGCGUAGUAGCAUACAUCUCGCUCUGGGCGUGCUGCGGGUUCCGGCCGUUAAACCACCUUCAUAACCCAAGGUUGACCUCGGAUCAGGUAGGAAGACCCGCUGAACUUAAACAUAUCAAUAAGCGGAGGA
rnacentral:misc_RNA from 1 species